CCUGCCCCCAGCCUGCCAUUUCAGAGGCAGCCUUGGUAACCAAUGCUCAAAUGACCACUGCCCAGGCCAGAAUCUCAGAGGAGGCCACAGGUGCCCGGUAUGUUCUGAUGGGGCAGCCUCCGUGGGGGAUCCCUGGGCCCUGAACACCCUCCUUUCUCACUGUCCCUCCCUCCCCUGCGAAGGGCAUCCUCAGCUGCUUCUGAAACCUGGGGCGCUGUGGUGGGAAACAGCCCGGACAGGCUGUUCUCAACACUCUCUACUGCAAACUACACACAGUUUUACGUCGCCAGAAAGACCCCAAAUUUCUAUUCAAAAAGACCGUACCAGUUUCAGUUCCCGCCAACCUCAAAGGCAGAGACAAAAGGACGGUGUGCCCCUCCUGUAACUUCAUUUCUUCGGUGACUGUGAAGCUGAGGGCAGAGUCCACGCCUGGGGACAGGGCUGCCACCGCAGCGGCCACUGCGUCCAACCCUCGCUCCUCCUCCCAGAGACGACCUGCGUUCCGCUCAGGGACAGGGCUGCCAACGCAGCGGCCACCGCACCCAACGCUCGCUCCUCCUCCCAGAGACAACCUGAGCUCUGCUCAGAAGCGGCACCUCCUCAUGCUGGACUCACUCGGGCCCACAUGUGCCAAGGGGGCCUGGUUUUGGGGCCGGCGGGUUCUGCCUGAUGCUCAGAGGGUAACUGGAUGCUGAAAACUGUGAGUCUUUCUUCAACUCAGGGGAAUGUUUCCAGGGCACGCCAGGCCUCACUCACGCAGGCCUCCGCGACAACUGUUCAGCACUGACUGAGGGUGAAGUGAAAUCCUGAAAGCUGAGAGCCAGCGCCCUCACACGAGGGCUGGGACGUAACAAAAGCCCAUCAAGAGUUUUGCCCAGGGCUUUCUUGGGCCUUGAAGCAUGACGAGACCAGGACCCGUUUAGGAUUAAACAAGUUUUACUGGGGGUCUGAAAAAACUCCCCAGGCCUCCACAAACAAGUGGAGAAGGAACUCCCCAAACCUCCAUGAUUUAGCAGAAGACAAGAUAAGGGUAAACACCUGGGCCCAUUUAGAUCAAGUAAAUUUACUGAGUCUUCAGAGGAAGAUCUUCAGGACCAGACCUCAGUUAGAGAUGAGAAGAAUUGAAUCACGUACGUCUUUAGACGAAUGCACACUGACACGGAGACACAGAGCUUAGAAGGUGUGUAAGCUCUGGAAAAACUGUAAUCUGGAGUUGGUCUGGCGAUCAUUUCCAGGCCUUCUCCCUGUAACCAGUUACAGAAAUAAAAUCCCUCUUCUUCCCCAGUU